UACGUAGGGUGCAAGCGUUGUCCGGAAUUAUUGGGCGUAAAGAGCUCGUAGGCGGCUUGUCACGUCGACUGUGAAAACCCGGGGCUCAACUCCGGGCCUGCAGUCGAUACGGGCUGGCUUGAGUGCGGUAGGGGAGACUGGAAUUCCUGGUGUAGCGGUGAAAUGCGCAGAUAUCAGGAGGAACACCGGUGGCGAAGGCGGAUCUCUGGGCCGUAACUGACGCUGAGGAGCGAAAGCGUGGGGAGCGAACAGG
rnacentral:rRNA from 1 species